rnacentral:rRNA from 1 species
GAGAGUUAAACAGUACGUGAAAUUGUUGAAAGGGAAACGCUUGAAGUCAGUCGCGUUCCUCGAGACUCAGCCUUGCCUUCCGGCCUGGUGUACUUCUCGUUGAACGGGCCAGCAUCAAUUUUGACCGUCGGAUAAAGGCGAGGGGAAGGUGGCACCUUUCGGGGUGUGUUAUAGCCUCUCGUCACAUACGCCGGUUGGGAUUGAGGACCGCAGCACGCCUUUAAUGGUCGGGGUUCGCCCACGUUCGUGCUUAGGAUGCUGGCGUAAUGGCUUUAAACGACCCGUCUUGAAACACGGACCAAGGAGUCUAACAUGCCCGCGAGUGUUCGGGUGGAAAACCCGUGCGCGUAAUGAAAGUGAAAGUUGGGACCUCUGUCGUGGAGGGCACCGACGCCCGGACCAGACCUUCUGUGACGGAUCUGCGGUAGAGCGUGUAUGUUGGGACCCGAAAGAUGGUGAACUAUGCCUGAAUAGGGUGAAGCCAGAGGAAACUCUGGUGGAGGCUCGUAGCGAUUCUGACGUGCAAAUCGAUCGUCAA